UUCGUUUUCGUUGCUCUGAUUCUUCUGGCCAAGUCUUUGAGCUGCGUGACAUUUCUUCAUCAGCGAGACUUAUUCGUGUAUCCUUCAUUAUAGUUCUCCAGAUACUAACGUUGUAGAAGCCGGAGCCUGGUCGAAAUCGCGUUAAAUUUCCUUAGAAAAUUGAGCGCCUUGGGCUGGUCCCUGGAGCUGAUUGCAGAGAACGGAGACAAAGCUUGAAGCUGAUUGGAAAAAGGGCGGAACGCAAAGGUGGAGAAGGAAAAAGUUGGAAUCUCUACCAAACUGAAGAAAUGAACGAUGGAGUUCAAGAAUACUAGUUCAAGAUAAACUCGGUAUAAUAAAAGAUACUUUUGGUGUGAAAAAUCAGUGAGAAAGAAUAUAUAUAACAAGAUUCGGAGAACGGACGAAAUGGGGUCGAGGAUGUGGAAAUCACGCGUUCCGAAUUUUUAAGGAGAAUAAUGGAAGCGAGUUUCCGAAUAAGAAACUUUUAGCCGCCGAUAGAUAGGAAAUGUUUUCAUAUUCUGGAACAAAUGUUGUUGAACCCUGGAGGGUGUAUCUCGCAUCUCUUUAUAAUUCCAUUACGAAAAUCGGACGAAUGGCAGCCGUCGUUAGCAAAUUUUACGACAGAAUGAGCCUGUCGUUUUCCAAGGAAGUUUAUCUCACUUCGGAAGAAAAGGUAUUUGCCCCGUACGUACGGGGGUGGAAGACUUCGAAGAGGGAGAAGCGGUGACAACAAGGAGGUGGCGCAGUCGGGCGGAUUUUAGGGUUGGAUCAAUGACCCGAGCCACAGUUCGACACACGCCCGAAUUCCCGUGUAACAGAAUUAGGCGGCGAUGAGGGCUCGUUCCCUACAGGUGGUCCACUAUACUGGUAUCGGAAAUUACCCGGGAAAAAAAUGGACACACAGGGCGAGUAUAAUCCACGUCUAAUUCAUAUCGUAAUUAAGUUUGCGUGUGCCUAAUUCUCCUUAUUCUUCGAUAGGUUGUA